rnacentral:lncRNA from 1 species
ACUGGAAGGGCUCAGAGGAGACUGAGAGCUGGAAUCAGUGUAAACUGGUGAGAAUUCAAAUUGUUGAAAGUUUGUUUUCUAUUCUUCCUCCUCCAAGAAGAUGCAGUGGAAUUUGCCAAGGGGGAAAUGACAGUGAAAUAAUUAAUUACCUAUAGAUUUCCUAUAUGUUUCUCAUCUAUUUUUCAUUCUGUAAGCUUUUCACAAACACCCUCAUGUUUUUGUUCUCUGCAUUGCAGAAACUUGAUGACAAUUUGAUUCAGGAGGUUUAUUGCUUUGAUCCAACUGCUUCAUCCGUGCAAGUUAAAGCAGAGCUGCUGCUGGACCUCAUCACUGGUGUCCCACAAGCAGCAGAGUGGCAGCAGAACUCUGCUCCAGCUGAAUACCUGUACCAGUGGCUUCACACCUGCCUGGCACUUGUGGAGAUCACAAAAAGCCAACGCACUGGAAAAAACCAUCCUUAGCCCCUUUUGGCAUCCAGUUCUUGUGUGCCUUUAAUUAAAUAUCUCAAUUUCUCAUCUAACCCUUGUGAUUCUGGUGUUUCAUAUAUUUUAUUAAAUUAACUGUUGAUUUUCUAUUUUUUUUUGCAUAGGCACUAGUAUUUGUUGUUAAAAUGGCUUAAUUCUGUUAGGGAUUAUGAGUUAAGGUGAUAGGGAGUCUGUUAAGGAUUGAGAGGAAUGACAGGUUUGUCUUUACAAACAAGCUGUGCUGAUAAUAUGAAGCUAUCACUGAGAAAUAACAGAAACAAUGGGGUGGAUUCCACUGAAAGAUGAAAGAGACACUGGGGAAACACCAUAAAAUUCAACAAGAAUUAAGAAUUAAGAAGGGUUGUGCAUUGGGAGGGGGUAUCUCAGGUAUCAGGCGUUCUGGGAAGUCUGUACCUCUCAAGUACCUCAGCCUAUGGGGAAAGAGAGAAGGGACAUACAGACGGGAAUUAGGAUAAAAGGGAGGCUGCGCCCUCCAAAAAUUUGGGAGACCCCAGGAGAAUGCCCCAUGGCCUCUCCCUUUAUUCAAAUAAAGUAAAAGGACUCCCCUGUCUCCUUUUUUGG